rnacentral:rRNA from 1 species
GCUAACUCCGUGCCAGCAGCCGCGGUAAUACGGAGGGUGCGAGCGUUAAUCGGAAUUACUGGGCGUAAAGCGCACGUAGGCGGUUUGUUAAGCAAGAUGUGAAAGCCCAGGGCUCAACCUUGGAAUUGCAUUUUGAACUGGCAAGCUAGAGUUUUGAAGAGGGUGGUAGAAUUUCCAGUGUAGCGGUGAAAUGCGUAGAUAUUGGAAGGAAUACCAGUGGCGAAGGCGGCCACCUGGUCAAAAACUGACGCUGAGGAGCGAAAGCGUGGGGAGCAAACAGGAUUAGAUACCCUUGUAGUC